CAAUAGCGUAUAUUAAAGUUGUUGCGGUUAAAAAGCUCGUAGUUGGAUUUCUGCCGAGGACGACCGGUCCGCCCUCUGGGUGUGUAUCUGGUUUGGCCUGGGCAUCUUCUUGGAGAACGUAGCUGCACUUGACUGUGUGGUGCGGUGUCCAGGACUUUUACUUUGAGGAAAUUAGAGUGUUUCAAGCAGGCACACGCCUUGAAUACAUUAGCAUGGAAUAAUAAGAUAGGACCUCGGUUCUAUUUUGUUGGUUUCUAGAGCUGAGGUAAUGAUUAAUAGGGAUAGUUGGGGGCAUUCGUAUUUAACUGUCAGAGGUGAAAUUCUUGGAUUUGUUAAAGGCGGACUACUGCGAAAGCAUUUGCCAAGGAUGUUUNCAUUGA
rnacentral:rRNA from 1 species